CAGCACCUCAAGUGGUCAGGAUGAUUAUUGGGCCUAAAGCAUCCGUAGCCGGCGCUGUAAGUUUUCGGUUAAAUCUGUACGCUCAACGUACAGGCUGCCGGGAAUACUGCAGCGCUAGGGAGUGGGAGAGGUAGACGGUACUCGGUAGGAAGGGGUAAAAUCCUUUGAUCUAUUGAUGACCACCUGUGGCGAAGGCGGUCUACCAGAACACGUCCGACGGUGAGGGAUGAAAGCUGGGGGAGCAAACCGGAUUGGAUACCCGAGUAGUCC
rnacentral:rRNA from 1 species